AAGUCGUAACAAGGUCUCCGUAGGUGAACCUGCGGAAGGAUCAUUAUUAAAACAAAACAUAUUUAUAAUUUAUUUAUUAUUUAUAUGUUGGUAUUAAUAAAUACACACAUUUAGAAAUGUAAUUUUUCUUUUUGAAAUUUAAUUUUUAGCAUUUCUAAAUUAUUUAAAAAAUUAAAUAUCAUUAUCGACUGAUUUUAAAAUUUAAUUUUAAAUAAAGUUGAAAAAAAUAUAUAUAAAACGUUUUUGGUCUUACAAAAGAAAAGUCUUAAAAUAACUUUUAACGAUGGAUCUCUUGGCUCCUA
rnacentral:misc_RNA from 1 species